rnacentral:rRNA from 1 species
GACGAACGCUGGCGGCGUGCUUAACACAUGCAAGUCGAACGGACAGGCCCUGCUUUUGUGGGGUGCUCGAGUGGCGAACGGGUGAGUAACACGUGAGUAACCUGCCCUUGACUUUGGGAUAACUUCAGGAAACUGGGGCGAAUACCGGAUAGGAGCUCCUGAUGCAUGUUGGGGGUUGGAAAGUUUCGGCGGUUGGGGAUGGACUAGCGGCUUAUCAGCUUGUUGGUGGGGUAGUGGCGGAACACGGCUUUGACGGGUAGCCCGCCUUGGAGGGUGGCCGGCCACAUUGGGACUGCGGUACGGCGCAGUCUCCUACCGGAGGCAGCAGUCGAAAAUAUUGCAGAAUGGGCGGAAGCCUGAUGCAGCAACCCCGCGUGCGUAAUGACGGCCUACGGGUUAUGAACCGCUUUCGCCGGUGACGAAGCGUGCGUGACGGUAAUGGGUAAAGAAGCACCGGCUAACUACGUG